UGGGGAAUAUUGCACAAUGGAGGGAACUCUGAUGCAGCGACGCCGCGUGAACGAAGAAGGCUUUCGAGUCGUAAAGUUCUUUUAUAUGGGAAGAUAAUGACGGUACCAUAAGAAAAAGCCCCGGCUAAAUACGUGCCAGCAGCCGCGGUAAUACGUAUGGAGCGAGCGUUGUCCGGAAUUAUUGGGCGUAAAGGGUGCGCAGGCGGCUUUACAAGUUGGAUGUGAAAUAUUGUGGCUCAACCACAAACGUGCAUCCAAAACUGCAAAGCUUGAGUUAAGGAGAGGUAAGUGGAAUUCCUGGUGUAGCGGUGGAAUGCGUAGAUAUCAGGAGGAAUACCGGUGGCGAAGGCGACUUACUGGACUUAAACUGACGCUCAGGCACGAAAGCGUGGGGAGCAAACAGG
rnacentral:rRNA from 1 species